UCCUAAGUGAUGAAAUUGGUAAACAUGAGAGACUCAAAACCUCUUGCGUAAGCUUGUCGGUUCAAAUCCGACCUUAGGAA
rnacentral:tRNA from 1 species